rnacentral:rRNA from 1 species
GGGUUGUGAGGUUAAGCGACUAAGCGUACACGGUGGAUGCCCUGGCAGUCAGAGGCGAUGAAGGACGUGCUAAUCUGCGAAAAGCGUCGGUAAGGUGAUAUGAACCGUUACAGCCGGCGAUGUCCGAAUGGGGAAACCCAGUGUGAUUCGUCACACUAUCGUUAACUGAAUACAUAGGUUAACGAGGCGAACCGGGGGAACUGAAACAUCUAAGUACCCCGAGGAAAAGAAAUCAACCGAGAUUCCCCCAGUAGCGGCGAGCGAACGGGGAGCAGCCCAGAGUCUGAAUCAGCUUGUGUGUUAGUGGAACGGUCUGGAAAGUCCGACGGUACAGGGUGAUAGUCCCGUACACCAAAAUGCACAGGCUGUGAACUCGAAGAGUAGGGCGGGACACGUGGUAUCCUGUCUGAAUAUGGGGGGACCAUCCUCCAAGGCUAAAUACUCCUGACUGACCGAUAGUGAACCAGUACCGUGAGGGAAAGGCGAAAAGAACCCCGGCGAGGGGAGUGAAAAAGAACCUGAAACCGUGUACGUACAAGCAGUGGGAGCACCUUCGGGUGUGACUGCGUACCUUUUGUAUAAUGGGUCAGCGACUUAUAUUCUGUAGCAAGGUUAACCGUAUAGGGGAGCCGCAGGGAAACCGAGUCUUAACUGGGCGUUAAGUUGCAGGGUAUAGACCCGAAACCCGGUGAUCUAGCCAUGGGCAGGUUGAAGGUUGGGUAACACUAACUGGAGGACCGAACCGACUAAUGUUGAAAAAUUAGCGGAUGACUUGUGGCUGGGGGUGAAAGGCCAAUCAAACCGGGAGAUAGCUGGUUCUCCCCGAAAGCUAUUUAGGUAGCGCCUCGUGAACUCAUCUUCGGGGGUAGAGCACUGUUUCGGCUAGGGGGUCAUCCCGACUUACCAACCCGAUGCAAACUACGAAUACCGAAGAAUGUUAUCACGGGAGACACACGGCGGGUGCUAACGUCCGUCGUGAAGAGGGAAACAACCCAGACCGCCAGCUAAGGUCCCAAAGUCAUGGUUAAGUGGGAAACGAUGUGGGAAGGCACAGACAGCCAGGAUGUUGGCUUAGAAGCAGCCAUCAUUUAAAGAAAGCGUAAUAGCUCACUGGUCGAGUCGGCCUGCGCGGAAGAUGUAACGGGGCUAAACCAUGCACCGAAGCUGCGGCAGCGACACUAUGUGUUGUUGGGUAGGGGAGCGUUCUGUAAGCCUGCGAAGGUGACCUGUGAGGGUUGCUGGAGGUAUCAGAAGUGCGAAUGCUGACAUAAGUAACGAUAAAGCGGGUGAAAAGCCCGCUCGCCGGAAGACCAAGGGUUCCUGUCCAACGUUAAUCGGGGCAGGGUGAGUCGACCCCUAAGGCGAGGCCGAAAGGCGUAGUCGAUGGGAAACAGGUUAAUAUUCCUGUACUUGGUGUUACUGCGAAGGGGGGACGGAGAAGGCUAUGUUAGCCGGGCGACGGUUGUCCCGGUUUAAGCAUGUAGGCUGGUUAUCCAGGCAAAUCCGGAUAAUCAAGGCUGAGGUGUGAUGACGAGGCACUACGGUGCUGAAGUAACAAAUGCCCUGCUUCCAGGAAAAGCCUCUAAGCAUCAGGUAACACGAAAUCGUACCCCAAACCGACACAGGUGGUCAGGUAGAGAAUACCAAGGCGCUUGAGAGAACUCGGGUGAAGGAACUAGGCAAAAUGGUGCCGUAACUUCGGGAGAAGGCACGCUGGUGUGUAGGUGAAGUCCCUGCGGAUGGAGCUGAGACCAGUCGAAGAUACCAGCUGGCUGCAACUGUUUAUUAAAAACACAGCACUGUGCAAACACGAAAGUGGACGUAUACGGUGUGACGCCUGCCCGGUGCCGGAAGGUUAAUUGAUGGGGUUAUCCGUAAGGAGAAGCUCUUGAUCGAAGCCCCGGUAAACGGCGGCCGUAACUAUAACGGUCCUAAGGUAGCGAAAUUCCUUGUCGGGUAAGUUCCGACCUGCACGAAUGGCGUAAUGAUGGCCAGGCUGUCUCCACCCGAGACUCAGUGAAAUUGAACUCGCUGUGAAGAUGCAGUGUACCCGCGGCAAGACGGAAAGACCCCGUGAACCUUUACUAUAGCUUGACACUGAACAUUGAGCCUUGAUGUGUAGGAUAGGUGGGAGGCUUUGAAGCGUGGACGCCAGUCUGCGUGGAGCCAACCUUGAAAUACCACCCUUUAAUGUUUGAUGUUCUAACGUUGGCCCCUUACCGGGGUUGCGGACAGUGUCUGGUGGGUAGUUUGACUGGGGCGGUCUCCUCCCAAAGCGUAACGGAGGAGCACGAAGGUUAGCUAAUCCUGGUCGGACAUCAGGAGGUUAGUGCAAUGGCAUAAGCUAGCUUGACUGCGAGCGUGACGGCGCGAGCAGGUGCGAAAGCAGGUCAUAGUGAUCCGGUGGUUCUGAAUGGAAGGGCCAUCGCUCAACGGAUAAAAGGUACUCCGGGGAUAACAGGCUGAUACCGCCCAAGAGUUCAUAUCGACGGCGGUGUUUGGCACCUCGAUGUCGGCUCAUCACAUCCUGGGGCUGAAGUAGGUCCCAAGGGUAUGGCUGUUCGCCAUUUAAAGUGGUACGCGAGCUGGGUUUAGAACGUCGUGAGACAGUUCGGUCCCUAUCUGCCGUGGGCGCUGGAGAAUUGAGGGGGGCUGCUCCUAGUACGAGAGGACCGGAGUGGACGCAUCACUGGUGUUCGGGUUGUCAUGCCAAUGGCACUGCCCGGUAGCUAAAUGCGGAAGAGAUAAGUGCUGAAAGCAUCUAAGCACGAAACUUGCCCCGAGAUGAGUUCUCCCUGAGACUAUAAGUCUCCUGAAGGAACGUUAAAGACGAUGACGUUGAUAGGCCGGGUGUGUAAGCGCAGCGAUGCGUUGAGCUAACCGGUACUAAUGAACCGUGAGGCUUAACCUUACAACGCCGAAG